UACGGAGGGUGCAACCGUUGCUCGGAAUCAUUGGGCGUAAAGCGCAUGUAGGCGGUCGGCUAUGUCGGAUGUGAAAGCCUCGGGCUUAACCCGAGAAGUGCAUCCGAAACUGGCCGGCUUGAGUACGGAAGAGGGUCUCGGAAUUCCCGGUGUAGAGGUGAAAUUCGUAGAUAUCGGGAGGAACACCAGUGGCGAAGGCGGAGACCUGGGCCGAUACUGACGCUGAGAUGCGAAAGCGUGGGGAGCAAACAGG
rnacentral:rRNA from 1 species